CUUUUUCUGGCUCAGAACCUGGCAGAAUUUCCCAGACCAUAGCAGAGAUGAUGGGGGUUGGGGGAGAGUCUUUGUCUAUGGAAUUUCAGAGCCAUGUGAGGAGGCCAGAGCAGGAAAUGCAAUCUAUCCUAGAAUGGGAAGACCAAGGCUUAUCGAAGUUGACUAACACAGUCAAGGUCAAAACCAAGACUAAGAUCUAGACAUCCUGGCUCCCAGUCCAGUGCCCUUGAAAAACCAGUGCUGUUCAAGCUUCAGCAUCUAUAGACCUCUUUAGUGGGUGUCCAGGACUCACAAAGUGCCACAAUUUUGGACACAUUUAAAAAAUGAUCACAAACUCUAAAACAGAAUAAAAAAACACCUAAAAAGAAAUAGACAGGCUAAUCCUAAAUUGCAUACAAAAUUGCAAGGAACCGGGAAUAGUAAAAUCUUGAAAACAGAAGGACAAGGUUGAAGGACGCACACUUGCCAAUUUUAAAACUUGUGACAAAGCUACAGUAAUCAAGACAGUGUGAAAUUAGCAUAAGGACAGACAUAGAUGAAUGGGAUAGAAUUGAGAGUCUGGAAACAAACUCAUACAUUUAUGAUCAAUAAAGGUGCCAAGACGAUUAAAU
ensembl:lncRNA